rnacentral:rRNA from 1 species
AUUGAACGCUGGCGGCAUGCCUUACACAUGCAAGCCGAACGGUAACGCGGGGCAACCUGGCGACGAGUGGCGAACGGGUGAGUAAUGUAUCGGAACGUGCCCAGUUGUGGGGGAUAACUGCUCGAAAGAGCAGCUAAUACCGCAUACGACCUGAGGGUGAAAGCGGGGGAUCGCAAGACCUCGCGCAAUUGGAGCGGCCGAUAUCAGAUUAGGUAGUUGGUGGGGUAAAGGCUCACCAAGCCGACGAUCUGUAGCUGGUCUGAGAGGACGACCAGCCACACUGGGACUGAGACACGGCCCAGACUCCUACGGGAGGCAGCAGUGGGGAAUUUUGGACAAUGGACGCAAGUCUGAUCCAGCCAUGCCGUGUGCGGGAAGAAGGCCUUCGGGUUGUAAACCGCUUUUGUCAGGGAAGAGAAGGCUCCUUCUAAUAUAGGGGGCUCAUGACGGUACCUGAAGAAUAAGCACCGGCUAACUACGUGCCAGCCGCCGCAGUAA